rnacentral:rRNA from 1 species
AUUGAACGCUGGCGGCAUGCUUUACACAUGCAAGUCGAACGGCAGCGCGGGCUUCGGCCUGGCGGCGAGUGGCGAACGGGUGAGUAAUACAUCGGAACGUGCCCAGUAGUGGGGGAUAGCUCGGCGAAAGCCGGAUUAAUACCGCAUACGACCUGAGGGUGAAAGCGGGGGAUCUUCGGACCUCGCGCUAUUGGAGCGGCCGAUGGCAGAUUAGCUAGUUGGUGGGGUAAGGGCCUACCAAGGCGACGAUCUGUAGCUGGUCUGAGAGGACGACCAGCCACACUGGCACUGAGACACGGCCCAGACUCCUACGGGAGGCAGCAGUGGGGAAUUUUGGACAAAGGGCGAAAGCCUGAUCCAGCACUGCCGCGUGUGUGAUGAAGGCCUUCGGGUUGUAAAGCACUUUUGGCGGGAACGAAAAGGACUGUGCCAAUACCACGGUUCGAUGACGGUACCCGCAGAAUAAGCACCGGCUAACUACGUG